rnacentral:rRNA from 1 species
GACGAACGCGGGCGGCGUGCCUAAUACAUGCAAGUAGAACGCUGAAGGAGGAGCUUGCUUCUCUGGAUGAGCUGCGAACGGGUGAGUAACGCGUAGGUAACCUGCCUGGUAGCGGGGGAUAACUAUUGGAAACGAUAGCUAAUACCGCAUAAGAGUAGAUGUUGCAUGACAUUUGCUUAAAAGGUGCAAUUGCAUCACUACCAGAUGGACCUGCGUUGUAUUAGCUAGUUGGUGGGGUAACGGCUCACCAAGGCGACGAUACAUAGCCGACCUGAGAGGGUGAUCGGCCACACUGGGACUGAGACACGGCCCAGACUCCUACGGGAGGCAGCAGUAGGGAAUCUUCGGCAAUGGACGGAAGUCUGACCGAGCAACGCCGCGUGAGUGAAGAAGGUUUUCGGAUCGUAAAGCUCUGUUGUAAGAGAAGAACGAGUGUGAGAGUGGAAAGUUCACACUGUGACGGUAUCUUACCAGAAAGGGACGGCUAACUACGUGCCAGCAGCCGCGGUAAUACGUAGGUGGCAAGCGUUAUCCGGAUUUAUUGGGCGUAAAGAGAGUGCAGGCGGUUUUCUAAGUCUGAUGUGAAAGCCUUCGGCUUAACCAGAGAAGUGCAUCGGAAACUGGAUAACUUGAGUGCAGAAGAGGGUAGUGGAACUCCAUGUGUAGCGGUGGAAUGCGUAGAUAUAUGGAAGAACACCAGUGGCGAAGGCGGCUACCUGGUCUGCAACUGACGCUGAGACUCGAAAGCAUGGGUAGCGAACAGG